rnacentral:misc_RNA from 1 species
ACACCAUUCAAGCUCUGCUUGGUAUUAGGCCGUGCAGCGAUGGCAGGCCUUAAAUUUAGUGGCGGCACCGUUGGGUCCCGAGCGUAGUACUCACCUCGCUACGGGUCCCGGCGGCUGGCGACCAGCAACCCCAACUUCUCAA